GUCGCCAACGAGUGGCGGACGGGUGAGUAACACGUAGGUAACCUGCCCAGAAGCGGGGGACAACAUUUGGAAACAGAUGCUAAUACCGCAUAACAACGUUGUUCGCAUGAACAACGCUUAAAAGAUGGCUUCUCGCUAUCACUUCUGGAUGGACCUGCGGUGCAUUAGCUUGUUGGUGGGGUAAUGGCCUACCAAGGCGAUGAUGCAUAGCCGAGUUGAGAGACUGAUCGGCCACAAUGGGACUGAGACACGGCCCAUACUCCUACGGGAGGCAGCAGUAGGGAAUCUUCCACAAUGGGCGCAAGCCUGAUGGAGCAACACCGCGUGAGUGAAGAAGGGUUUCGGCUCGUAUAGCUCUGUUGUUAAAGAAGAACACGUAUGAGAGUAACUGUUCAUACGUUGACGGUAUUUAACCAGAAAGUCACGGCUAACUACGUGCCAGCAGCCGCGGUAAUACGUAGGUGGCAAGCGUUAUCCGGAUUUAUUGGGCGCUCUAAAGAGAGUGCAGGCGGUUUUCUAGAGUCUGAUGUGAAAGCCUUCGGCUUAACCGGAGAAGUGCAUCGGAAACUGGAUAACUUGAGUGCAGAAGAGGGUAGUGAAACUCCAUGUGUAGCGGUGGAAUGCGUAGAUAUAUGGAGGACACCAGUGGCGAAGGCGGCUACCUGGUCUGCAACUGACGCUGAGACUCGAAAGCAUGGGUAGCGAACAGGAUUAGAUACCCUGUAGUCCAUGCCGUAAACGAUGAGUGCUAGGUGUUGAGG
rnacentral:rRNA from 2 species